rnacentral:rRNA from 1 species
GAGGAAUAUUGGGCAAUGCCCGCAAGGGUGACCCAGCAACGCCGCGUGGAGGAUGAAUGUCGUAAGAUUGUAAACUCCUGUUAGAGGGGAAGAAUAGUACCGGUUGGACCGGUAUAUGACUGUACCCUCAGAGAAAGCCCCGGCUAACUACGUGCCAGCAGCCGCGGUAAUACGUAGGGGGCAAGCGUUGUCCGGAUUUACUGGGUGUAAAGGGCGCGCAGGCGGGAUAAAAGGUCAGUGGUGAAAUCCUACAGCUUAACUGUAGAACUGCCUUUGAUACUUUUAUUCUUGAGUUCGGGAGAGAGAGACGGAAUUCCAGGUGUAGUGGUGAAAUACGUAGAUAUCUGGAAGAACACCAGUUGCGAAGGCGGUCUCUUGGUCCGACACUGACGCUGAGGCGCGAAAGCGCGGGGAGCAAACA